rnacentral:rRNA from 1 species
GACAGAGGGUGCAAACGUUGUUCGGAAUUACUGGGCGUAAAGAGCGUGUAGGCGGCCGCACAGGUCCGUUGUGAAAACUGGAGGCUUAACCUCCAGACGUCGACGGAAACCGUGUGGCUAGAGUCCGGAAGAGGAGAGUGGAAUUCCUGGUGUAGCGGUGAAAUGCGCAGAUAUCAGGAAGAACACCAAUGGCGAAGGCAGCUCUCUGGGACGGUACUGACGCUGAGACGCGAAAGCGUGGGGAGCGAACAGG